rnacentral:rRNA from 1 species
UGCCAGCCGCCGCGGUAAUACGUACUGCGCGAGCGUUAUUCGGAAUCACUGGGUGUAAAGGGUGCGUAGGCGGUUCAAUAAGUUAGGUGUGAAAUCCCACGGCUCAACCGUGGAACUGCACUUAAAACUGUUGAACUCGAGCGAUCUAGGGGUAAGCGGAACUUCCGGUGGAGCGGUGAAAUGUGUUGAGAUCGGAAGGAACACCAAUAGCGAAAGCAGCUUACUGGGGAUUGUCUGACGCUGAGGCACGAAAGCCAGGGGAGCGAACGGGAUUAGAUA